rnacentral:rRNA from 1 species
AGCAGCCGCGGUAAUUCCAGCUCCAAUAGCGUAUAUUAAAGUUGUUGCAGUUAAAAAGCUCGUAGUUGAAUUUCGGGGUCAGCAGGUUGGUCGUGCCACUGGUAUGUACUGGCUUUGCUGAUUCCUCCUUCUUGUAGAACCGUAAUGCCAUUAAUUUGGUGUUGCGGGGAAACAGGACUGUUACUUUGAAAAAUUAGAGUGUUUAAAGCAGGCUAACGCUUGAAUACAUUAGCAUGGAAUAAUGAAAUAGGACGAGCGGUCCUAUUUUGUUGGUUUCUAGGAUUGACGUAAUGAUUAAUAGGGAUAGUUGGGGGCAUUAGUAUUCAAUUGUCAGAGGUGAAAUUCUUGGAUUUAUUGAAGACUAACUACUGCGAAAGCAUUUGCCAAGGAUGUUUUCAUUAAUCAAGAACGAAAGUUAGGGGAUCGAAGACGAUCAGAUACCGUCGUAGUCUUAACCAUAAACUAUGACGACUAGGGAUCGGAUGAUGUUAUUUAUAAUGACUCAUUCGGCGCC